rnacentral:rRNA from 1 species
GCUUAACACAUGCAAGUCGAGCGAGAAUCGUUUAUUGAAGGCUUCGGCUGGAAAUAGAUGAGGAAAGCGGCGAACGGGUGAGUAACGCGUGGGCAACCUGGCCUUAAGAAAAGGAUAGCCCCCGGAAACGGGGAGUAAUACUUUAUGAGAAUGAAAGAGGGCAUCCUACUUUCAUUCAAAGCGCAAGCGCUUAAGGAUGGGCCCGCGUAUCAUUAGCUAGUUGGUGAGAUAACAGCCCACCAGGGCAAGGAUGAUUAGCCGGUCUGGGAGGGCGAACGGCCACAUUGGAACUGAGGGACGGUCCAAACUCCUACGGGAGGCAGCAGUAGGGAAUAUUGCGCAAUGGAGAAGAACUCUGACGCAGCAAUACCGCGUGAGCGAAGAAGGUCUUCGGAUCGUAAAGCUCUGUUAUCAGGGAAGAAGAAAAUGACGGUACCUGAUGAGCAAGUCCCGGCUAACUACGUGCCAGCAGCCGCAGUAA